rnacentral:rRNA from 1 species
AUGAACGCUGGCGGCGUGCUUAACACAUGCAAGUCGAACGUGAAGCCCGGUACCUAGUAUUGGGUGGAAAGUGGCGGACGGGUGCGUAACACGUUGGUGACCUGCCCCGAGGUGGGGGAUAACCGUGGGAAACCACGGCUAAUACCCCGGAUGCCAAAGUAUUUAGAAAGCUUUGGCUAAAGCUCCGGCGCCUCGGGAGGGGCUGCGGGCUAUCAGCUUGUGGUGGGGUAAUGGCUACAAGGCAAAAGACGGCUAGGGGGCGUGAGAGCGCGACCCCACAAUGGAACUGAGACACGGUCCAUACUCCUACGGGAGGCAGCAGUGAGGAAUAUUGCGCAAUGGGGGCGACCCUGACGCAGCAACGCCGCGUGGAUGAUGAAGGCCUUCGGGUUGUAAAAUCCUUUUCCGGGGGAAGAAUCAUGACGGUACCUCGGGAAUAAGUCCCGGCUAACUACGUGCCAGCAGCCGCGGUAAAACGUAGGGGGCGAGCGUUAUCCGGAUUUACUGGGCGUAAAGCGCACGUAGGCGGCGCUUGUAAGGUUGGGCGUGAAAGCUCCCGGC